rnacentral:rRNA from 1 species
ACGCACGUGUGAAACUUGAAGGAAUUGACGGAAGGGCACCACAAGAAAGCGUGGAGCAUGUGGCUUAAUUUGACUCAACGCGGGAAAUCUUACCGGGUCCGGACACACUGAGGAUUGACAGGCAAUAUUAAUACAUAAACUUUUAUUUCUUCGGAGGUAUUUGUUUUAUGUAUUAUGUUAAAUAUGCUAGUCCUUUCAUGAUUAUGUGAUAGGUGGUGCAUGGCCGUUCUUAGUUCGUGGAGUGAUCUGUCUGCUUAAUUGCGUUUCACUAAGGGCUUAUAAAUUUACGUGCGUUGUGGGUACUUUGACCCCUACAUUGAAAUAUAUGUAGUGUGUGUCUCAGUUUGCUUCACUCGCACAAUUAAGUCCUGAAAGCAACGAACGUGACCG